GUGAAAGUCCUGUUUUCCAAGAUGGGAAUUGCUUUGGAUACUGGAGAGCUUGAGUGCGGGAGAGGUUAUCGGAAUCCCCGGUGUAGCGGUGAAAUGCGUAGAGAUCGGGAGGAACACCAGUGGCGAAGGCGGGUAACUGGACCGCAACUGACGCUGAAGCGCGAAAGUGUGGGGAGCAAACAGGAUUAGAUACCCUGGUAGUCCACACUGUAAACGAUGAAUGCUAGGUGUAGGAGGUAUCGACCCAUUCUGUGCCGGAGUCAACACAAUAAGCAUUCCGCCUGGGGAGUACGGCCGCAAGGUUGAAACUCAAAGGAAUUGACGGGGGCCCGCACAAGCAGCGGAGCAUGUGGAUUAAUUCGACGCAACGCGAAGAACCUUACCAGGUCUUGACAUCCAGUAAAGCCUGUAGAGAUACAGAGUCCCUUCGGGGGUACUGAGACAGGUGGUGCAUGGUUGUCGUCAGCUCGUGUCGUGAGAUGUUGGGUUAAGUCCCGCAACGAGCGCAACCCUUGCCGAUAGUUACUAACGGGUAAAGCCGAGGACUCUAUUGGGACUGCCGGGGACAACUCGGAGGAAGGUGGGGACGACGUCAAAUCAUCAUGCCCCUUAUGACCUGGGCUUCACACGUGCUACAAUGGCCGAAACAAAGAGGAGCGAAUCCGCAAGGAGGAGCAGAUCUCAAAAACUCGGUCUCAGUUCGGAUUGUGGGCUGCAACCCGCCCACAUGAAGUCGGAGUUGCCAGUAAUCGCGGAUCAGCAUGCCGCGGUGAAUGCGUUCCCGGGCCUUGUACACACCGCCCGUCACACCAUGGGAGUUGAUACCACCCGAAACCGGUGGGGUAACGUUCUGCAGCCAGCAAA
rnacentral:rRNA from 1 species